rnacentral:rRNA from 1 species
UAUCUCUGUAGAGUCUGCAUAUCAAUAAGCGGAGGAAAAGAAACUAACUAGGAUUCCCUUAGUAACGGCGAGUGAAGCGGGAAGAGCUCAAAUUUGAAAUCUUAAAGGUUUUCCCUUGACGAAUUGUAGUUUAAAGAAGUGUUUUCUGUUGGAUGUUUUGGUAAAAGUUCUUUGGAAUAGGACAUCAUAGAGGGUGAGAAUCCCGUAUUUGACCAUUACUUUCCACUUUGUGAUACACUUUCAAAGAGUCGGAUUGUUUGGGAAUGCAGUCCAAAAUGGGUGGUAAAUUUCAUCUAAAGCUAAAUAUUGGCGAGAGACCGAUAGCGAACAAGUACCGUGAGGGAAAGAUGAAAAGAACUUUGAAAAGAGAGUUAAACAGUACGUGAAAUUGUCAAAAGGGAAGCGUUUGACACCAGUGUUGUUUUCUCGAAAAUCAAUUAAAAAAGGCAGGAUUUUGUGUUGUAUUGACUUUAUCAGCUUUCUGCACUCUUUUCUUGUCUUUUUUAAUGCACUUUUCGUUUAACAAGUCAACAUCAAUUUCUUUUGUUGUAAAAGGGUCAUUGGAACGGUGGCUUUCUUUUCGGAGAAAGUGUUUAUAGCCUUUGGCCUCUGCAAUCGGAGAGAUUGAGGUCUGCAGCGUAGAUCCUUCGGGGUUAGAUACAUUUGUGCUAAGUUAUAGCCUUUCAUAGACAACUUGUUGACUAUGAUCAGUCAUGUAGCUUACUCGCUUAUGCUAUUUUACCUACGCUUAGGAUGUUGACGAUCAGCUGAGCGCG